GCUACGGGUGGCAGCAGUGGGGGAUAUUGCACAAUGGGGGAAACCCUGAUGCAGCGACGCCGCGUGUGGGAAGACGGUCCUCUGGAUUGUAAACCACUGUCGCCAGGGACGAAGAUGACGGUACCGGGGGAGGAAGCGCCGGCUAACUACGUGCCAGCAGCCGCGGUAAGACGUAGGGAGCGAGCGUUGUCCGGAAUUACGGGGUGUAACGGGAGCGUAGGCGGGACUGCAAGUUGGGUGUCAAAUCUACCGGCUCAACCGGUAGCCGCACUCCAAACUGCAGUUCUUGAGUGAAGUAGAGGCAGCCGGAAUUCCUAUUGUAGCGGUGAAAUGCGUAGAUAUUAGGUGGACCACCAGUGGCGAAGGCGGCCUGCUGGGCUUUUACUGACGCUGAGGCUCGAAAGUGUGGGGAGCAAACAGGAUUAGAUACCCCUGUAGUC
rnacentral:rRNA from 1 species